ACAAGUGUCUCCCACCUCUCAGGGGAUGCGCUAACUACUGGGCUUUGGGAUAUUCGGAUGUGGAACUCCCUGAAUCUCUCUUGUUGAAGCCUCUUCCUCUGGCCAGCUUUCGAGUGGGACAUGAUCCAGUAAGUGGUCUCUGAGUACGCCUGCCGGAUUGGGCCCCACAGAAGACGCUGUUUGGGUUUCACGAGCCACCCUCUUCAAAGUCCUGGGGGCGCUCUGUGUGGCGUGCGCUGGUAUUAUCGGAAGCCAGUACAUGAACAUUCGCACCUGAGACUGGCUCCCAUCGGGCCUGCUCCCUGCCUACAGAUCCUCUGUCCACCUGGAUCUCACCUGUCAUCCAAAAUAAAAAACAUCAGCACCUGUUACUGUUUUGUGUUUGUGUUAAUACAGAGCUCCAAAAUUACAGUUGUUGCAACAAGCUUCUGUUAUAAAGUCCUAUGUUAAUCCACCAAGAAUUUUGGCUUAGAAAUUUGAUUUGGUAUGAAAGUUACCAGAUUUGCUCUGAAGGCAAAGGAAAAAAUUUCUGCAAAGUUUGAAGAAAAUGAAUCAAACAGUUUGAGUUACAGAUCAUUUAAAAAAAUACCCCAUGUGAAAGUUGGCAUGUCUAACAUUUUCGUUGGGUCCCUCUAGCUCACAAAAAGAUUUGUUUGUUAUCCUUCACAUUUUCAUAGAGUUAAAUUUCCUGGGAAACUCAUGCCUUGGCUCUAUUGGGAGAAAAUAGAUUGUA